rnacentral:rRNA from 1 species
GAUGAACGCUGGCGGCGUGCCUAAUACAUGCCAGUCGAGCGAACAGACGAGGAGCUUGCUCCUCUGACGUUAGCGGCGGACGGGUGAGUAACACGUGGAUAACCUACCUAUAAGACUGGGAUAACUUCGGGAAACCGGAGCUAAUACCGGAUAAUAUAUUGAACCGCAUGGUUCAAUAGUGAAAGACGGUUUUGCUGUCACUUAUAGAUGGAUCCGCGCCGCAUCAGCUAGUUGGUAAGGUAACGGCUUACCAAGGCAACGAUGCGUAGCCGACCUGAGAGGGUGAUCGGCCACACUGGAACUGAGACACGGUCCAGACUCCUACGGGAGGCAGCAGUAGGGAAUCUUCCGCAAUGGGCGAAAGCUUGACGGAGCAACGCCGCGUGAGUGAUGAAGGUCUUCGGAUCGUAAAACUCUGUUAUUAGGGAAGAACAAAUGUGUAAGUAACUAUGCACGUCUUGACGGUACCUAAUCAGAAAGCCACGGCUAACUACGUG